rnacentral:rRNA from 1 species
UUAAGCGACUAAGCGUACACGGUGGAUGCCCUGGCAGUCAGAGGCGAUGAAGGACGUGCUAAUCUGCGAUAAGCGUCGGUAAGGUGAUAUGAACCGUUAUAACCGGCGAUUUCCGAAUGGGGAAACCCAGUGUGUUUCGACACACUAUCAUUAACUGAAUCCAUAGGUUAAUGAGGCGAACCGGGGGAACUGAAACAUCUAAGUACCCCGAGGAAAAGAAAUCAACCGAGAUUCCCCCAGUAGCGGCGAGCGAACGGGGAGGAGCCCAGAGCCUGAAUCAGUGUGUGUGUUAGUGGAAGCGUCUGGAAAGGCGCGCGAUACAGGGUGACAGCCCCGUACACAAAAAUGCACAUGCUGUGAGCUCGAUGAGUAGGGCGGGACACGUGGUAUCCUGUCUGAAUAUGGGGGGACCAUCCUCCAAGGCUAAAUACUCCUGACUGACCGAUAGUGAACCAGUACCGUGAGGGAAAGGCGAAAAGAACCCCGGCGAGGGGAGUGAAAAAGAACCUGAAACCGUGUACGUACAAGCAGUGGGAGCACAGAGCAAUCUGUGUGACUGCGUACCUUUUGUAUAAUGGGUCAGCGACUUAUAUUCUGUAGCAAGGUUAACCGAAUAGGGGAGCCGAAGGGAAACCGAGUCUUAACUGGGCGUUAAGUUGCAGGGUAUAGACCCGAAACCCGGUGAUCUAGCCAUGGGCAGGUUGAAGGUU